rnacentral:ncRNA from 2 species
ACGCAUCUUCAGGGCAGGGUGAAAUUCCCGAUCGGCGGUACAGUCCGCGAGCAGCGCGCCUUGGCGCGAUGUUGGAGCAUACGCUCAUGAACCGGUGAGACUCCGGUACCGACAGUUACAGUCUGGAUGGAAGAAGUUGCAG